GGAAUAUGGAGGAGAGCAAUAAGAAGCCUGAGGCUGUUCUUAUUUCCCCUGGAGCCUUUUAUGAAAGGCCUGGGGUUGUUUUAUGCUUCUGGGGAGUUGGAAGUAAAGGUUAAUUGGGGUUGGAGACAUGGCUCAGACGUACCAACAGCAGCCAGAAGAGGGCGACUGACCCCCCGACUCCAGCUACUGCGGGCGACCCCUACCCCACACUCCUGUGAAUGACCAUAGUGAAACUCAGUUUGUAGUCACUGGCUUCCUCCUGCCAUUUGAACAUUUGAUCAAAACCAGUCAAAUCCAUGUCUGGAUGGAGGGACGCCUUGUGAAGAUGAUGCUACUUAUCAAUAUUGGUAUUUACAGACAAGAAACGGCAGGAAUUGAAGCAUUGCAUCUGGGAUGAUGGACACACACCCUUCC
rnacentral:lncRNA from 1 species